rnacentral:misc_RNA from 1 species
ACACCUCAACUCUCAUGGUUUGCCAUGAUGAGCUUGGACCCUGGGGGUUUGCUGGCCUGUAGUCAGCUCCUCUCAAAUGAAUCAGCCUCCAAGUGUUUGGUGGCAUCACGGGUGUGAUAACUAUCUACGCUCGCUGUUGUCUGCCAGGUAACCUUUGGUGACGAAGGUUCGCUGGAGCUCACAGAUGUCUCUCCCUAAGUGAGGACAGUUUUUUAAC